UAGGGAAUCUUCCGCAAUGGACGAAAGUCUGACGGAGCAACGCCGCGUGAGUGAUGAAGGUUUUCGGAUCGUAAAACUCUGUUAUUAGGGAAGAACAAAUGCGUAAGUAACUGUGCGCAUCUUGACGGUACCUAAUCAGAAAGCCACGGCUAACUACGUGCCAGCAGCCGCGGUAAUACGUAGGUGGCAAGCGUUAUCCGGAAUUAUUGGGCGUAAAGCGCGCGUAGGCGGUUUCUUAAGUCUGAUGUGAAAGCCCAAGGCUCAACCGUGGAGGGUCAUUGGAAACUGGGAAACUUGAGUACAGAAGAGGAAAGUGGAAUUCCAUGUGUAGCGGUGAAAUGCGCAGAGAUAUGGAGGAACACCAGUGGCGAAGGCGACUUUCUGGUCUGUAACUGACGCUGAUGUGCGAAAGCGUGGGGAUCAAACA
rnacentral:rRNA from 1 species